rfam:Cavia porcellus supercont2_16 genomic scaffold, whole genome shotgun sequence.
CCUUUGGCUAUUUUUAUAGCCAUUUACUGUAUUUAAAAAAUGUUU